CUGGCGGCGCGCUUAACACAUGCAAGUCGAGCGAGAACCAAAGCCUUCGGGCUUGGGGAAAGCGGCGAACGGGUGAGUAACACGUGGGUAACCCACCCUUGGUACCGGGAUAGCCCGGGGAAACCCGGAUUAAUACCGGAUGGCCCAACAGCUCGUCGGGGCGGUUGGAAAAGGUAGCUUCGGCCUCCGACCAAGGACGGGCCCGCGGCGGAUUAGCUUGUUGGUGAGGUAACGGCUCACCAAGGCGACGAUCCGUAGCUGGUCUGAGAGGACGAUCAGCCACACUGGGACUGAGACACGGCCCAGACUCCUACGGGAGGCAGCAGUGGGGAAUCUUGCGCAAUGGGCGAAAGCCUGACGCAGCGACGCCGCGUGGGGGAAGAAGGCUCUCGGGUUGUAAACCCCUUUCAGGAAGGACGAAGCCACUCGGGUUAAUAGCCCAGAGGGUGACGGUACUUCCAGAAGAAGCCCCGGCUAACUACGUGCCAGCAGCCGCGGUAAUACGUAGGGGGCAAGCGUUGUCCGGAUUUAUUGGGCGUAAAGAGCGUGUAGGCGGUUCGGUAGGUCCGUUGUGAAAACUCGAGGCUCAACCUCGAGACGCCGAUGGAAACCCCCGAACUAGAGUCCGGAAGAGGAGAGUGGAAUUCCUGGUGUAGCGGUGAAAUGCGCAGAUAUCAGGAAGAACACCCGUGGCUAAGGCGGCUCUCUAGUACGGUACUGACGCUGAGACGCGAAAGCGUGGGGAGCGAACAGGAUUAGAUACCCUGGUAGUCCACGCCGUAAACGAUGGGUGCUAGGUGUGGGGGGUGUCGACUCCCUCCGUGCCGAAGCUAACGCAUUAAGCACCCCGCCUGGGGAGUACGGCCGCAAGGCU
rnacentral:rRNA from 1 species